rnacentral:rRNA from 1 species
GCAUUAGCUAGUUGGUGAGGUAACGGCUCACCAAGGCAACGAUGCGUAGCCGACCUGAGAGGGUGAUCGGCCACACUGGGACUGAGACACGGCCCAGACUCCUACGGGAGGCAGCAGUAGGGAAUCUUCCGCAAUGGACGAAAGUCUGACGGAGCAACGCCGCGUGAGUGAUGAAGGUUUUCGGAUCGUAAAACUCUGUUGUUAGGGAAGAACAAGUACCGUUCGAAUAGGGCGGUACCUUGACGGUACCUAACCAGAAAGCCACGGCUAACUACGUGCCAGCAGCCGCGGUAAUACGUAGGUGGCAAGCGUUGUCCGGAAUUAUUGGGCGUAAAGCGCGCGCAGGCGGUUUCUUAAGUCUGAUGUGAAAGCCCCCGGCUCAACCGGGGAGGGUCAUUGGAAACUGGGGAACUUGAGUGCAGAAGAGGAGAGUGGAAUUCCACGUGUAGCGGUGAAAUGCGUAGAGAUGUGGAGGAACACCAGUGGCGAAGGCGACUCUCUGGUCUGUAACUGACGCUGAGGCGCGAAAGCGUGGGGAGCGAACAGGAUUAGAUACCCUGGUAGUCCACGCCGUAAACGAUGAGUGCUAAGUGUUAGAGGGUUUCCGCCCUUUAGUGCUGCAGCAAACGC